GACGAACGCUGGCGGCGUGCUUAACACAUGCCAGUCGAACGGAAAGGCCCUGCUUUUGUGGUGUGCUCGAGUGGCGAACGGGUGAGUAACACGUGAGUAACCUGCCCUUGACUUUGGGAUAACUUCAUGAAACUGGGGCUAAUACCGGAUAGGAGCUCCUGCUGCAUGGUGGGGGGUGGAAAGUUUCGGCGGUUGGGGAUGGACUCGCGGCUUAUCAGCUUGUUGGUGGGGUAGUGUCUUACCAAGGCUUUGACGGGUAGCCGGCCUGGGAGGGUGACCGGCCACAUAGGGACUGAGAUACGGCCCAGACUCAAACGGGAGGAAGCAGUGGGGAAUAUUGCACAAUGGGCGGAAGCCGGAUGCAGCAACGCCGCGUGCGGGAGGACGGCCUUCGGGUUGGAAAACGCUUUCGCCUGUGACGAAGCGUGAGGGAGGGUAAUGGGUAAAGAAGCACCGGCUACCUACGU
rnacentral:rRNA from 1 species